UCUUUAUCGACGUUAUCGACACCCAUCAUAUAACAUGUGAUCGAUAAAGCAGUUAACGUGCUUAACUGAAGGAUGUACCUCCAGUUAGCGUUAACUAGACAUGGUGCAAACGGCCCUAAAAGGUAUUCGCCUUGAUAGUUUUAAAGUGCUAAGGAUUUAAAUGAUUGGUUGACUUCCAAACCAUAAAUUGCAUUGCAAACGUACGGAGUAUAGUGUUCCAUAUGCCGAAAUACAAAAUGCUGGUGUGUAUAUUGUUACAAAACGCACCUGAAACUUGUAUCAAAGCGCAUUACUGGAGCAAUAAGCGCGAAGUAAAAUGUAGCUAAUAGAACCUUGAUACAGAUGGUAACUACUAAUGACUAGCUACCAAUCCUUGAUCUGGAAUUAUAUACAACAAGAAAAUAUGUACAGUAAGGUCCAAAAACUGAUUUAUCUCUGGGCUGAUGUUUAUUAAGUGGAUGUAAUAGUAGAAUAAAUAUAAUGGCUGUUUUAAAAGCUAAACUAUAGAUGACAUUAACUGGAGAGAGAGAGACUUUGAUCAGCAUUGUUUAUAAAGAGCCUGAUACGGAAUGUAAAUACUAAUAAAGCUAAAGAAAUACUUGAUGUGACGUCGUAUAAAUAUGUACAUAUGUACAUAUAUCAAAGUACAUAUGUAUGUGGCUGUUUCGUAACAAUAAGGUAAGUAAA